rnacentral:rRNA from 1 species
AUUGAACGCUGGCGGCAUGCCUUACACAUGCAAGUCGAACGGUAACAGGUUAAGCUGACGAGUGGCGAACGGGUGAGUAAUAUAUCGGAACGUGCCCAGUAGUGGGGGAUAGCCCGGCGAAAGCCGGAUUAAUACCGCAUACGACCUACGGGGUGAAAGGGGGGGAUCGCAAGACCUCUCGCUAUUGGAGCGGCCGAUAUCAGAUUAGCUAGUUGGUGGGGUAAAGCUCACCAAGGCGACGAUCUGUAGCUGGUCUGAGAGGACGACCAGCCACACUGGGACUGAGACACGGCCCAGACUCCUACGGGAGGCAGCAGGUGGGGAAUUUUGGACAAUGGACGCAAGUCUGAUCCAGCCAUGCCGCGU